rnacentral:lncRNA from 1 species
CAGGAGAACAAUAAUCUGUAUGUAUAGAAAAGGUAUAGACAUGUGCACAAAACAUUUCAAGAAGGUAACGCAACUGAGUUAGAGUAGAAGAAACACAAGUGUUUGGGUGACGCUGAUGUGGAAGAAUCUGGGCAAGAGAAAGAGAUGAACUGAAGGUGGGGCUUGCGGUCCUGCUGCGCCCAGGAGGCGGAGCCCCCGGUGGGAUACCAGCUUCAGGACUGCCAGCACGGAGCAGGCAGCUCAGCUGCUGGGAUGGCUGCCCGUGUGCAUGACCCCUGGGCCCCUUGAACUCAACUCUCCCCAGGAAACGAAGGGCAGAAUCAUGUUUGUAAAGUUUUAUUGAGGAAGAUGGUGUGGAAUUGUCCCUGAGUAGAAGGGCAUGGACAGUGUGUUUGCAUUGCAGAAGUAGAGACGGAGACGGAGGUGGAGCUUUCUCAGAGACAGCCCAGUCCGAAGUUUUCCUACCACCAGAACCACCGCACCUAGUACCACCUCCCCCAGCCACCACCACUGCUACUACCACCAGCAGCUAACACACAUCAGGCGCCAGCUGCAUACAACUGGCGCCCCCAUGGCUAGAAUCCAUCAGUAUUCAAAGCCCAUAGGUGAGAAAUAG